GCCUGGGUAGCUCAGUUGGUUGAGUGUCUGACUCUGGCUCAGGUCAUGAUCUCAUGGUCCGUGGGUUCAAGCCCUGCAACAGGCU
rnacentral:tRNA from 1 species